UACGUAGGGGGCAAGCGUUGUCCGGAAUCAUUGGGCGUAAAGCGCGUGUAGGCGGCCAGAAAAGUCCGCUGUGAAAACUCGAGGCUCAACUUCGAGCUGUCGGUGGAAACUUUCUGGCUAGAGUCCGGAAGAGGAGAAUGGAAUUCCUGGUGUAGCGGUGAAAUGCGCAGAUAUCAGGAAGAACACCCGUGGCGAAGGCGGUUCUCUGGGCCACUACUGACGCUGAGAAGCGAAAGCAUGGGGAGCGAACAGG
rnacentral:rRNA from 1 species